UAAAAAUUAAUAUACAUCUCUAUCUGUGUAGCUUAAAAUACAGCUGCUGAACAGUUCCCUGCAUCUCUUGGUCGCUCUAGUUGAUUAUGUAAAUGCUAUAUAAUUUACAAAAUAUGGCAAACAUGCGGCCAAACAAAGGGCGGCAAUUACAUGAAAAUCUCAAUUCAAUUGAGAGGCUGCGAAUGGAGACGCGGCUGUCAAUAAAUUGAGAAUCAACCACCGUUAAAUAUGAAUACAAACAGCAUCAGGCUCAGCCGCCAUUUCUGAUCGACAGCUGUCACGAAUGACAAUUGGAUUGCCAAGUUCUGGAUUGCCCUGGUUCUGGCUCUGGCCGGGCUCUGACUCCGGUCUCUGGUCUCUGGCCUCUGCCCUCCGUCUGCAUCAAAAUCGUAUAAAAUAUGCAAUAAAAAUAUGAGACCGCAGAAUUCUUAUUUAUAGAAUACGUAAAAUGCACGAGGUCAUCAAAAUCAGAGAAAACAACAAUAAUAACAACAGCAACAACAACAACGAAAACGACAACGAAAGCGAUAUGAAAAUUGAAACAAUGGCAAUGGCUCUACUCGAUCCGGGAGUGGGUUUCAUUGCGGGACUGGAGGACACUUGAGUAAAACGCAGAAACGUGGUUGCGUUUUUCGUGACUUGUGGGCGAGAGUGCGGCAGGGGAAAUGUAAAAUUGAGUAUAUUCAAUAUAAAUGAGCUACACACUUUAGUAAUUGAGGAUUUUCAAUCUGGAGUAUCUUGUCUGAAUUUCAAACCUACCUGCAGGAUACCCUGGCUAUCUUGUCUUCGAGCAGUCAUAUGUUUGGACUACGAAUAGGAA
rnacentral:sRNA from 1 species